rnacentral:rRNA from 1 species
UACGGAGGGUGCAAGCAUUAAUCGGAUUUACUGGGCGUAAAGGGCGCGUAGGCGGGAAAGAAAGUCAGGUGUGAAAUCCUGGAGCUCAACUCCAGAACUGCACUUGAAACUUCUUUUCUAGAGGAUUGGCGGAGAAAAUGGAAUUCCACAAGUAGCGGUGAAAUGCGUAGAUAUGUGGAAGAACACCAGUGGCGAAGGCGAUUUUCUAGCUUUUUCCUGACGCUAAGGCGCGAAAGCAAGGGGAGCAAACAGG